rnacentral:rRNA from 1 species
GCAAAUCUCUUAAAGCCGUUCUCAGUUCGGAUUGUAGGCUGCAACUCGCCUACAUGAAGUCGGAAUCGCUAGUAAUCGCGGAUCAGCAUGCCGCGGCGAAUACGUUCCCGGGCCUUGUACACACCGCCCGUCACACCAUGAGAGUUUGUAACACCCAAAGCCGGUGGGGUAACCUUUUGGAGCCAGCCGUCUAAGGUGGGACAGAUGAUUGGGGUGAAGUCGUAACAAGGUAUC